GCUGUUUUCAAGGAAGGUUGAGAGGGACAAGAUGGCUGUGUAAAUAAUCAAGAGUUCCACAGAGGAUGCAAAGAGAGCACAAAGCAUCUGAGGGGACAUCAACUCAACUUGGUGAAAGGUGUCUGAGCCAUCUGCUGAAUGGAAAGUGCCCAGAGGGUAAGUAGAUGAUGUGCCAGUGAGAUUCCUGGAAAGAAGCAAAGCCUGAAUGACUGAUUAGGACUGCAGUGACAUGGAAUGACUGGUUAGGACUGCAGUGACAUAGAUUGGUUAGGACUUCAGUGACAUGGAAUGACUGAUUGAUUAGGACUGCAGUGACAUGGAAUGACUGGUUAGGACUGCAGUGACAUGGAAUGACUGAUUAGGACUGCAGUGACAUGGAAUGACUGGUUAGGACUGCAGUGACAUAGAUUGGUUAGGACUGCAGUGACAUGGAAUGACUGAUUGAUUAGGACUGCAGUGACAUGGAGAUGUUAGAAUGUUGCUGGCCCAGACACUUACUGUAUCUCAGCUAAGCUUUGGCCAUGUGAAUAGCCAUAGUGAAUAGCCACAGUUCAGCUCUGUGGCAGAACUAAUACCUUAUAAAGAAUAAACAAAUUCCAUUUGGGACCUACUAACUUAGCAGACCAC
rnacentral:lncRNA from 1 species